rnacentral:misc_RNA from 1 species
AUACCUCAACCCUCAUGGCCUGCCAUGAUGGGCUUGGACUUUGGGGGUCUUGUUGGCCUGUGAGCCAGCUCCCCUUAAAUGAAUUAGCUUGCCGGUGUUUGGUGGCGUCACAGGUGUGAUAACUAUCUACGCUUGUGGUUUCCCACCAGGUAACCUUCAGCAAUGGAGGUUCACUGAAGCUCAUAAACGUCCUCCCCAGAGAGGACAGAUUUUGACU